rnacentral:rRNA from 2 species
AGAGCUUGCUCCCGGAUGUUAGCGGCGGACGGGUGAGUAACACGUGGGUAACCUGCCUGUAAGACUGGGAUAACUCCGGGAAACCGGAGCUAAUACCGGAUAGUUCCUUGAACCGCAUGGUUCAGGGAUGAAAGACGGUUUCGGCUGUCACUUACAGAUGGACCCGCGGCGCAUUAGCUAGUUGGUGAGGUAACGGCUCACCAAGGCGACGAUGCGUAGCCGACCUGAGAGGGUGACCGGCCAUACUGGGACUGAGACACGGCCCAGACCUAUACGGGAGGCAGCAGUAGGGAAUCUUCCGCAAUGGACGAAAGUCUGACGGAGCAACGCCGCGUGAGUGAUGAAGGUUUUCGGAUCGUAAAGCUCUGUUGUUAGGGAAGAACAAGUGCAAGAGUAACUGCUUGCACCAUGACGGUACCUAACCAGAAAGCCACGGCUAACUACGUGCCAGCAGCCGCGUAAUACGUAGGGGCAAGCGUUGUCCGGAAUUAUUGGGCGUAAAGGCUCGCAGGCGGUUUCUUAAGUCUGAUGUGAAAGCCCCCGCUCAACCGGGGAGGUCA